AUGCCUCCUCACGCGCCUUCCUUCGAGAAGAGCUGCUCCGGCGACCGGCAAAGACAGGAGGCAGGAGGGCAGCUGCUGCGAGGCCCGGGGCAGCGGUGGUCGUCGUUCCACGGGCGCGGGGCGGAGCAGCGGCACCAGCUGCCAAAGCAGAGGCCCAAGACGCAGCCGGACCUGCUCGCCGGCGUGAGGGGCAGGAGCUUCCGCGCCGCGGACGGCGGCGAGCCGCUGGCCGAGCUGGCGGUCCGGAGGACGCCGGGCAAGGUGCUGGUGAACGUGACCGUGCAGAGGAGCCUGUGGCCGCUGCACGUCAUGGCGUCGGCGGACUGGAGCGUGGCGGACCUUGUGGCCGCCGCCGUGGGGAUUUACGUGAAGGAGGGCAGGCGGCCCUUGCUGCCGGCGACCGACCCGUCGACCUUCGGCCUACACUACUCCCAGUUCAGCUUGGAAAGUUUGGACCCGAGGGAGAAGGUGAUGGAGCUAGGGUCCCGGAGCUUCUUCCUGUGCCCCAGGUCCUCCUCGGCCGCCGUCCAGACCUCCUCGUCCUCCUGCUCCUCUGCCGGAGCAAGCGGUGUCAGGAACGCCGGGGAGGCGCCUACGUCGGCAGGCGAACCGCCGGCUUGGCUGCGCUACAUGCCGUUCUGGCCGACCAUGUAG
rnacentral:rRNA from 1 species